rnacentral:rRNA from 1 species
UACAGAGGGUGCGAGCGUUAAUCGGAAUCACUGGGCGUAAAGCGUGCGUAGACGGCUAUCUAAGUCGGGUGUGAAAGCCCCGGGCUCAACCUGGGAAUUGCAUUCGAGACUGAAUAGCUAGGGUACGGUAGAGGGAAGUGGAAUUUCCGGUGUAGCGGUGAAAUGCGUAGAUAUCGGAAGGAACAUCAGUGGCGAAAGCGACUUCCUGGACCAGUACCGACGUUCAGGCACGAAAGCGUGGGGAGCAAACAGG